CCUACGGGAGGCAGCAGUGGGGAAUCUUGCGCAAUGGGCGAAAGCCUGACGCAGCAACGCCGCGUGCGGGAUGACGGCCUUCGGGUUGUAAACCGCUUUCAGUGGGGACGAACCAAGACGGUACCCACAGAAGAAGCCCCGGCCAACUACGUGCCAGCAGCCGCGGUAACACGUAGGGGGCGAGCGUUGUCCGGAUUUAUUGGGCGUAAAGAGCUCGUAGGCGGUUCGAUAAGUCGGGUGUGAAACCUCCAGGCUCAACCUGGAGACGCCACCCGAUACUGUCGUGACUAGAGUCCAGUAGGGGAGCGUGGAAUUCCUGGUGUAGCGGUGAAAUGCGCAGAUAUCAGGAGGAACACCAGUGGCGAAGGCGGCGCUCUGGGCUGGAACUGACGCUGAGGAGCGAAAGCGUGGGGAGCGAACAGGAUUAGAUACCCUGGUAGUCCACGCCGUAAACGUUGGGUACUAGGUGUGGGGUCUUAUCAACGGAUUCCGUGCCGCAGCUACGACAUAGUACCCGUCCGUCGGGAGGUACGGCCGCGACGACGUAAACUACAAGAAGUAGACGGCGNGAGACGUGCCGACGACGACGACGAGGGAGUAGG
rnacentral:rRNA from 1 species